rnacentral:rRNA from 1 species
AUGGCCGGUGUUGGAAGGGGGAUGGGGCGGGGCUGUGGCGAUGGCAAGCUGCGAACAGUGGGGGUCGUCGCCGGCGUCCAUGGCCCAUCUCAAGAGACUAUUCCCGCUUGUCAGGGCAGAGGUCACGGCAGCGGCAGUGUGACGAUCCCCGUCGACCAUUCAUCGGGAGGACAAGCAACGGGAUUUCUGGAUGACAUCAACCGAAGCGGAUUUGCCACCGGGGUGGCUCGUCAGGGUGGCAUAAGCAGAGGCCUGGAGGUUCCACUGCCGGUUAAAGAACCAACUAUAGGUAAUGCAAAUGAUAUAACAAACAUAUGGUGUCAUGGGAAAUCAUUGGAAGGACAAGCAUGGGAGUGUGGAUAUUGUGGUUUAGUUAGACAUGGUGGGGGUUCAACCCGAUUCAAGCAGCAUAUAGCUGGACUGGGCCCUCAUGUCUUCUCUUGCAUGAAUGCACCUCAUCACGUAGUUGCCAUUUUUCGGAAAGCCAUUCCAGAGGGAGAGGCCCGGAGAAGGACUUCCAAAGAAGGAAAGAAAAGAGUGGUAGCUGAGAAGAUGAUGAGGUACUCCAGUAGACCCUACGAAAUUCGUUACGUGAAGAUCAUGGGAGAACCAGUGCUGUUAAAGGAAGUGUAG